rnacentral:tRNA from 1 species
AUUCAACUACAGGAAACCCUUA